AUACCUUUCUCGGCCUUUUGGCUAAGAUCAAGUGUAGUAUCUGUUCUUAUCAGUUUAAUAUCUGAUACGUGGAUCAUCGAUCCACAUGAUAUUAAAUUAAUUUUUCUAGGGGGAGGGCUCAUGACAGUAGCUUGCUACUGGGGGUCCUUGAGUGUCGCCUUUGCUUUGCACUACUGCAAUGGCCUGGCACGCCCCUC